GACGAACGCUGGCGGCGUGCUUAACACAUGCAAGUCGAACGGAAAGGCCCUGCUUUUGUGGGGUGCUCGAGUGGCGAACGGGUGAGUAACACGUGAGUAACCUGCCCUUGACUUUGGGAUAACUUCAGGAAACUGGGGCUAAUACCGGAUAGGAGCUCCUGCUGCAUGGUGGGGGUUGGAAAGUUUCGGCGGUUGGGGAUGGACUCGCGGCUUAUCAGCUUGUUGGUGGGGUAGUGGCUUACCAAGGCUUUGACGGGUAGCCGGCCUGAGAGGGUGACCGGCCACAUUGGGACUGAGAUACGGCCCAGACUCCUACGGGAGGCAGCAGUGGGGAAUAUUGCACAAUGGGCGGAAGCCUGAUGCAGCAACGCCGCGUGCGGGAUGACGGCCUUCGGGUUGUAAACAGCUUUCGCCUGUGACGAAGCGUGAGUGACGGUAAUAGGUAAAGAAGCACCGGCUAACUACGUG
rnacentral:rRNA from 1 species